rnacentral:RNase_P_RNA from 1 species
AGGGGUGAAUGCAUGGUCGCUCCGGUUCAAUCCGGAGAGGAAAGUCCGAACACCGCAGGGCAUGGUGGUUCGUAACGCGAACUCCGGGUAACCGGGGGAAAGUGCCACAGAAAAUACACCGCCGAUGGAAUGCGUACGUGUUCACAGGUAAGGUUGAAAUGGCGAGGUAAGAGCUCACCGCUCCCGUGGCAACACGGGAGGCAGGGUAAACCCCACCAGGUGCAAGACCAAAUAGAGAGACGCUUGAGGGCGGCCCGUCCAAAGUCUCCGGGUAGGUUGCACGAGGUGCCGGGCGACCGGCAUCCCAGAUAAAUGAUCAUGGUUCGCUCUCGGGCGAAAACAGAAUUCGGCUUACAGUUCACCCCUUUUU